CUUCCUUUCCGGGAUGUGCUGAUCACCAAAGAAGUUACAGGAUAUGCAACCAAAGUUUACAGGAAGCCAACCCACACUCACUAACAGGCUUUCAUUGUGACACCUGCAAUAAAACAUAUAAAUUAAAGAAUUCAUUGAGGGAGCACAAAAGAAAAGAAUGCCAGAAGGAACCACAGUACGGCUGUCCAUUUUGCUCAUAUAAAGCUAAGUUAAAGGGAAACCUGAAAAGCCAUGUCCUUAGAAAACAUCAGACUGUUGAUUUAUCAUAAAUCUCAAUUUUAUUUUGUAUUUUUUAUUAUUUAUAUUUAAUAUAGAUUCACAAUCAUUUGAAAGUUUAUUAUAAUUUUUUCUUAAAAACUGUUUGAUUCAUUUUUGAUUUCAUACAUCAAAGCCGUGUUGAAGCUAUCAUACAGUGAUGAGCGCGCUAAUAACUGGCAAAAUAACGCAAAAGAUGGAAAACAUAAUACCUUGUCAAGUAGACACCUAAAAUUUUAAAGGAACUAUAGUCCAUCGUGUGAUUAUUAUCAUGUAUAUGUGUGGUAAGAGUGCAUCUUUCUGGAUAUAAUGUACAAUCACUUUUGUGGGAGAUUAUCCGAUCUUUAAUAGAUCUUGAACUUUGUCCUAUAUAUUCUUUACUACAAUCUAUAGAUGGGAUACUGUAGAUUACAUUUAUGGUUUAUCCUUUAAUUUUGAGAAAACCCCAAAAGAAUCUUUAAUAUCGUACGGGUUAUUAAUAUCAUAACCUUUAGUAAGAAUAUCAGUCAUAAUCGUUGCUAUACUUGAAGUAGGUGCUUCAAUAGAGGCAACAAUCGGACGAACUGAUAGAGUUAGUUUGUGAAUUUUUGGAAGAGAGUAAAACUUUGGUAUGAUACUAUUGUAUAUCGUGCGGUUUUUCCUUGUGACUUCGUCUAUCUAUCCUGUGGUCAUUAAUAAUUUAAUUAUACAAUUAUCUUUUCGUUGUAUAGAUAGUUUUGGGUCAUUUGUAAGUUAAGUAUAUGAGUGAUCAUUUAUAAUAAGACUGUCAAAAAGAAAUAAAAGCUGGAUAAAAAACCUUUCCAACAUUGUUAUUCCUAAUGAUAUUUUAGAAUUUAUGUCUCUUGGUACAAACUUUUAUAGCUUAGACGAAAAUCUAGGCUAUAGGCAAUAGCAUCGCGUAUAGCCUAGAUGAAAAUGGUUUGUUCUGAAAUCGGGUAUGGUCGGUAUUAUAAUAAUAAUAAUUUUUAGGCUUUCCUUGUGACACCUGCGAUAAAACAUAUAAAUUAAAGGCAUCAUUGAUGAUGCAUAAAAGAAAAGAAUGCCAGAAAGAACCACAGUUUGCCUGUCCCUGUUGCUCAUAUAAAGCUAAAUUAAAGGGAAACCUUAAAAGCCAUGUUUUCAUUGUGACACCUGCGGUAAAACAUAUAAAUUAAAAUCAUCAUUGACAGAGCACAUAAGACGAGAAUGCCAGAAAGAACCACAAUUCCCCUGUCCAUGGUGUUCAUAUAAAGCUAAAUUGAAGGGAAACCUUAAAAGACAUAUAUUUAGGAAGCAUCAGGCUUUCAUUGCACCACCUGCGAUAAAACAUAUAAAUUAAAGAAAUCUUUGGGAGAUCACAAAAGAAAAUAUUGCCAGAAAGACCCACAGUUUGCCUGUCCAUGUUGUCCAUAUAAA
rnacentral:misc_RNA from 1 species